UGGGGAAUCUUGCGCAAUGGGCGAAAGCCUGACGCAGCAACGCCGCGUGAGCGAAGACGGCCUUCGGGUUGUAAAGCUCUGUCAGGAGGGACGAAGCCACUCAGGUGAAUAGCCGAGAGGGUGACGGUACCUCCAGAGGAAGCCCCGGCUAACUACGUGCCAGCAGCCGCGGUAAUACGUAGGGGGCAAGCGUUGUCCGGAAUCAUUGGGCGUAAAGCGCGUGUAGGCGGCCAUCCAAGUCUGGUGUGAAAGCUCGGGGCUCAACCCCGAGUCUGCACUGGAAACUGUAUGGCUUGAGUCCGGAAGAGGAGACUGGAAUUCCUGGUGUAGCGGUGAAAUGCGCAGAUAUCAGGAAGAACACCAGUGGCGAAGGCGGCUUCCUGGCCUGUUCUUGACGCUGAGGCGCGAAAGCUAGGGGAGCAAACGGG
rnacentral:rRNA from 1 species